rfam:Sporothrix schenckii ATCC 58251 unplaced genomic scaffold supercont1.2, whole genome shotgun sequence.
GGCAAGAUGGCCGAGUGGUUAAGGCGUUGGUUUUAGGCCACGAACUUUCCUUGUUCAACGAGGAAAGCGGUUUUAAAGUCACCAAUCCGAAAGGGCGAGGGUUCGAAUCCCUCUCUUGUCA